rnacentral:rRNA from 1 species
GUAUCUAAUCCUGUUUGAUCCCCACGCUUUCGCACCUCAGCGUCAGUAUCAGUCCAGUGAGUCGCCUUCGCCACUGAUGUUCCUUCCUAUAUCUACGCAUUUCACCGCUACACAGGAAAUUCCACUCACCUCUACUGUACUCUAGUCUGCCAGUAUCAACUGCAAUUCCCAGGUUGAGCCCGGGGCUUUCACAGCUGACUUAACAGACCGCCUACGCGCGCUUUACGCCCAGUAAUUCCGAUUAACGCUCGCACCCUCCGUAUUACCGCGGCUGCUGGCACGGAGUUAGCCGGUGCUUCUUUUGUGGGUAAUGUCACACUCGUCAGUUAUUAGCUAACAAGCUUUCUUCCCCACUGAAAGUGCUUUACAACCCUAGAGCCUUCUUCACACACGCGGCAUGGCUGGAUCAGGCUUUCGCCCAUUGUCCAAUAUUCCCCACUGCUGCCUCCCGUAGGAGUCUGGGCCGUGUCUCAGUCCCAGUGUGGCUGAUCAUCCUCUCAGACCAGCUACGGAUCGUCGCCUUGGUGAGCCAUUACCUCACCAACAAGCUAAUCCGACGCAGACUCAUCCAAUAGCGCAAGGUCCGAAGAUCCCCUGCUUUCCCCCGUAGGGCGUAUGCGGUAUUAGCCUGGUUUUCACCAGGUUGUCCCCCACUACUGGGCAGAUUUCUGCGCAUUACUCACCCGUCCGCCGCUCUACUCAUCCCCGAAGGAAUUUUCGCGCUCGACUUGCAUGUGUUAGGCCUGCCGCCAGCGUUCAAUCUGAGCCAGGAUCAAACUCU